UUAUCAUUAAUAGGAGCUAACUUUUAUCAAAAGCUCCAUCUAUAUCUGUUUUGAUAUGAUUUUACUAUGAUAUUUGGCUAAUAUUGAUAUUAUAAUUUUCAAAUAUACCAAUAUUACAGUACUAUAGAAAUUCAGUUGGCCUUUUAAUAUAUAGUUGGGUUUGAUUUGCUGAUAUUUUGUUUAUAAUUUUUUUGUUUAUGUGCAUGAGACAGAUUGGCCUUUGUCUAUUUUAUAAUCUUACAUUUUGGAACGAUAUUAUUUAAGCUCAUAAGACAAUUUGGAAAGUGUUUUUUCUCAAUUCUUGGACUGUUUAGACUGUGGGUCAACAAACUUUUUCUGUAAAGUGACAGUAAAUAUUUUAGAUUUCACAGUUCAUAUGUUCUCUGUGGCAACUACUCUUCUCUGUCAUUGUGGUGUGAAAACUAGCCAUAGACAGUUUGCAAAUGAAUGAUGGAUGUGGUUGUAUUCAAAUAAAAUUUUAUUUUUAAAAACAGGUAAUGGACCAGAUUUGACCUUCAGGCCAUGGUUUGCUGAAACCUGGUUUAGAUGUCGUGUUUGUUUGUUUGUUUGUUUUUUUAAUGAGACAGGGUCUCGCCAGUGUAGUGGUGCCAUCAUAGCUCACUGUAGCCUCAAACUCCUGGGCUCAAGCUAUCUUCCCACUCAGCCUCAUAAGUAGCUGGGACUACAGGUGUGCCCCACCAUGUCCGGCUAAUUAAAAAUUAAAAAAAAAAAUAGAGAUGGGGGUCUCACUUUGUUGCCCAGGCUGGUCUUGAACUCCUGGCCUCAAGUGAU
rnacentral:lncRNA from 1 species